rnacentral:rRNA from 1 species
GCUUAGUGGCGAACGGGUGAGUAACGCGUGAAGAACCUGUCCUUUCAGGUGGGGACAACAGUUGGAAACGACUGCUAAUACCGCAUAAUGUAUUCGGAUGGCAUCAUCUGGAUACCAAAGCUUAAUGUGCUGAAAGAUGGCUUCGCGUCUGAUUAGCUAGAUGGCGGGGUAACGGCCCACCAUGGCGACGAUCAGUAGCCGGUCUGAGAGGAUGAACGGCCACAUUGGGACUGAGAUACGGCCCAGACUCCUACGGGAGGCAGCAGGUGGGGAAUAUUGGGCAAUGGGGGAAACCCUGACCCAGCAACGCCGCGUGAAGGAAGAAGGCCUUCGGGUUGUAAACUUCUUUUACCAGGGACGAACACAAUGACGGUACCUGGAGAAAAAGCAACGGCUAACUACGUG